rnacentral:rRNA from 1 species
GUAUAGCAAUAGCUAGUUGCAUCAUAGUAGAUAUGAUGCAAGAUCGACUAUGUUGAAUAAAAUUCUAGGUAGAAUUAUGAUAAUGACAUUGUCUGCCUAUGUGUCUUGACCAAAUUACGUGCCAGCAGUCGCGGUAAUACGUAGAAGACUAGUGUUAUUCAUGUUUAAUCGGUUUAAAGGGUACCUAGACGGUAGAUCAAGCUUUCUAAUAAAGGAAAAGGACUAAUUUACUAGAGUUACUUAUGAGGGGGUAUUAAAGUACUGCUGGUGUAGAGAUGAAAUUCUGUCAUACCUCUUUUCAAAAGAAAAACCAUGGCACAGGUAUAGGCGAAGGCAUCCCCUUAUGUGAUAACUGACGUUGAGGGACGAAGGCUUUGUGUAGCGAACAGGAUUAGAUACCCCAGUAGUCGAAGCAGAAAAUGAUGAAUGUCAUAGAUUAGAUAUAUAAGUUUAUUCUAUAAAUGAAAGUGUAAGCAUUCCACCUCAUGAGUAAUUUGGCAACAUUGGAACUGAAAUCAUUAGACCGUUUCUGAAACCAGUAGUGAAGUAUGUUGUUUAAUUUGAUGUUCCGCAAAAAACCUUACCACAAUUUGAAUAUUUAUAUUGUUUAUUGUUUUAUUAUUAAUUUUCUUGAACGUAAAAGAAAAGAGAGAUGUAGGAUAAUAGUAAGAAAAUUAAGAAACAAGCAAUAAGAUAUAAUUACAAGCGUUGCACGGCUGUCUUCAGUUAAUGUCGCGAGACUUUGGUUAGUUCCAUUAAAUUAACGUAAACCCUUACUUUAUUUUUAUAUAGAGUAGUUCCCCGCUAGAUUGGAUAUGAUAACAGG